GGUCUCGAACUCCUGACCUUGUGCUCCGCCCACCUUGGCCUCCCAAAGUGCUGGGAUUACAGGUAUGACCCAUGAGCCACUACCCCUGGCCAACACCAUAGUUUUUAACCUUUAGAUAGGGACUCUACAGGAGCAGGUCUGGGGUGAGGGUAGCAGGAAAAGGAGGAGUGGGUGAAGUUUAUUCAUAUUAAUAAGCUAGAGUUGGUCACACCAAGGAAGGUGCCCAGAAAGCAGAAGGGUGGCAUGGCACCCGGUGUAGGAGGGUCAUCUGUCAGCUGGAUUGCUUCCUCACAUCCCAUAUCCAACAGAUUACUAAGUCCUGGGACCCUGCUUCCCAGAGCUCUCAUCUGACUCAUCCUGUCUUGUCCCAUGGCCAAGGCCAGCUUUGCAGAUGCAGAUGCUGUGGCUCAAAGGAUUAAUUAAUUUGCUUAAGAUAAUGCAACAUGAGAAAAGCAGAUCAGGACGGAAUUCCAGAACAAGGAUUUUGCUUGAAAUAACAUCACUACUAAUUGUCUCUCUGCACCUCCUGGCUCAUUUCUCUACUCCCACACCUUCCCUGCUGACCCUAGUCAAGGAGCUGUGAACAUACAAAUAGUGCCUGAUACACUAGGGCCUCGGCAUUGGCCAUGGGAGUGAGGGAGAAAAUCAUUUAAGAGGCUUUGUAGUCGAUUUCAACAAAGAAGGCAAUGCCAGUGAAGCAUCUUGCAGGAAUCCCUCCCUGACUGCUUCAGUCCACAGCGCUCUUACCUUUCUCUAUACACUUACAAUCUGUUUCAUUUACUUCCUAGCAGACCUUGCAGAAACCAUUAUUUCAUAUGAUACGUUUCCCCCAUAGAAUAUAAGCUCCUUAAGGGAAGAGAUUUUUGCUUGGUUUUAUAAUGCUGAAUUCCAAGUGCCUAGAAAGGGCCUGGCAGGUCGUAGGCACAAGAAGUAUUGGUUGGUUGAAUAUAUACUUCUUGCAACCCACAGAAACUGAUGUUGGUCUGGGCCAGGCCCUGCCCUGGCUUCCAGGGAUGCAGAAGUGAAUCGAAUAACUUCCUGCCCUCUGAACUUAUGGGGGAGACAUACAUACCUGCAUAUUCACAAGAGAUUUCAUCACAUGUAACCAAAGUAAAAAGGUGGCCACCAGAAGGGGGACUGGACCUGCUUGUUGGAAGGGUGCAAAUGGAAACUAGAGAGGUGAUUGUUCCAGACAUUCCCAGUGGGACAGGUGGCUGUGAGCCUGUGAUGAACUGAGAGACACCACUGAGUAAAAGUUAAGAGGACAGGCUCUGGAG
rnacentral:lncRNA from 1 species